rnacentral:rRNA from 1 species
AUUGAACGCUGGCGGCAUGCCUUACACAUGCAAGUCGAACGGCAGCACGGGUGCUUGCACCUGGUGGCGAGUGGCGAACGGGUGAGUAAUACAUCGGAACGUACCUUAUCGUGGGGGAUAACGCAGCGAAAGCUGUGCUAAUACCGCAUAAUCCCUAAGGGGGAAAGCGGGGGACCGUAAGGCCUCGCGCAAUUAGAGCGGCCGAUACCCGAUUAGCUAGUUGGUGAGGUAAAGGCGCACCAAGGCAACGAUCAGUAGUUGGUCUGAGAGGACGGUCAGCCACACUGGGACUGCGACACGGCCCAGACUCCUACGGGAGGCAGCAGUGGGGAAUUUUGGACAAUGGGGGCAACCCUGAUCCAGCAAUGCCGCGUGAGUGAAGAAGGCCUUCGGGUUGUAAAGCUCUUUUGUCAGGGAAGAAACAGCAGCUCUAACACAGUUUGCGAAUGACGGUACCUGAAGAAUAAGCACCGGCUAACUACGUGCCAGCCGCCGCGGUAA